GACGAACGCUGGCGGCGUGCUUAACACAUGCAAGUCGAACGGAAAGUCCCUGCUUUUGUGGGGUGCUCGAGUGGCGAACGGGUGAGUAACACGUGAGUAACCUGCCCUUGACUUUGGGAUAACUUCAGGCAACUGGGGCUAAUCCCGGAUAGGAGCUCCUGCUGCAUGGUGGGGGUUGGAUAGUUUCGGCGGUUGGGGAUGGACUCGCGGCUUAUCAGCUUGUUGGUGGGGUAGUGGCUUACCAAGGCUUUGACGGGUAGCCGGCCUGGGAGGGUGACCGGCCACACUGGGACUGAGAUAAGGCACAGACUCCAACGGGAGGCAGCAGUGGAGAAGAUUGCACAAUGGGAGGAAGCAUGAUGCAGCAACGCCGCGUGCGGGAUGACGGCCUGCGGGUUGUAAUCCGCUGUCGCCUUUGACGAAGCGUGAGUGACGGUAAUGGGUAAAGAAGCACCGGCUAACUACGUG
rnacentral:rRNA from 1 species